CGCGAGAAGUUUCCUGCUUGCAGGAGGCGGACAGCGGCGAAAGGGAGAGUAACGCGUGGGUACCUGCCCUCUGGACCGGAAUAGCUGUGGGAAACUACAGGUAAUGCCGGAUAAAGUCUCCGGACCAAAUGGUGUUAGCUGCCGGAGGAUGGGCCCGCGUCCUAUUAGCUUGUUGGUGAGGUAACGGCUCACCAAGGCUACAAUGGGUACCGGGCGUGAGAGCGUGGCCCGGCUCACUGGGACUGAGACACUGCCCAGACACCUACGGGUGGCUGCAGUCGAGAAUCUUCGGCAAUGGGCGAAAGCCUGACCGAGCGACGCUGCGUGCGGGAUGAAGGCCUUCGGGUUGUAAACCGCUGUCAGAGGGGAGGAAAUGCUUGGUAACCCCAAGUUUGACCUAUCCUCAGAGGAAGUCCGGGCUAAGUUCGUGCCAGCAGCCGCGGUAAGACGAACCGGACAAACGUUAUUCGGAAUUAUUGGGCUUAAAGGGUGCGUAGGCGGCGUGGCAAGUUGGAUGUGAAAUCCCUCGGCUCAACCGAGGAACUGCGUCCAAAACUGCCAUGCUCGAGGGAGACAGAGGUGAGCGGAACUUGCGGUGGAGCGGUGAAAUGCGUUGAUAUCGCAAGGAACACCCGUGGCGAAGGCGGCUCACUGGGUCUCUUCUGACGCUGAGGCACGAAAGCUAGGGGAGCGAACGGGAUUAGAUACCCCGGUAGUCCUAGCUGUAAACGAUGAGCACUUGGUCGGAGG
rnacentral:rRNA from 1 species